rnacentral:snRNA from 12 species
AGCUUUGCGCAGUGGCAGUAUCGUAGCCAAUGAGGUUUAUCCGAAGCGCGAUUAUUGCUAAUUGAAAAAACAAAGAAACAGGUAUGCAGGUGUCUUUUUUCUCUCUCUCACUUUCUCCCUCGCUCUCCCUUCCCAAUUUCUCUCUGUCCUUCCUAUUCAAUAAAAUGAGAGAAAAAAGAAAAAA